rnacentral:rRNA from 1 species
AGUGAACGCUGGCGGUAGGCCUAACACAUGCAAGUCGAACGGCAGCACAGUAAGCGCUUGCUCUUACGGGUGGCGAGUGGCGGACGGGUGAGGAAUACAUCGGAAUCUACUUUUUCGUGGGGGAUAACGUAGGGAAACUUACGCUAAUACCGCAUACGACCUACGGGUGAAAGCAGGGGAUCUUCGGACCUUGCGCGAUUGAAUGAGCCGAUGUCGGAUUAGCUAGUUGGCGUGGUAAAGGCCCACCAAGGCGACGAUCCGUAGCUGGUCUGAGAGGAUGAUCAGCCACACUGGAACUGAGACACGGUCCAGACUCCUACGGGAGGCAGCAGUAGGGAAUAUUGGACAAUGGGCGCAAGCCUGAUCCAGCCAUACCGCGUGGGUGAAGAAGGCCUUCGGGUUGUAAAGCCCUUUUGUUGGGAAAGAAAAGCAGCAGGUUAAUACCCCGCUGUUCUGACGGUACCCAAAGAAUAAGCACCGGCUAACUUCGUG